GAUGAACGCUGGCGGCGUGCCUAAUGCAUGCAAGUCGAGCGACGCAUACCGGAGGGGUAACCCACUGGUAUGACGGAGCGGCGAACGGGUGAGUAACACGUGAGCAACCUGCCCCACAGACCGGGAUAGCCCAGGGAAACCUGGAUUAAUACCGGAUACCCUCGGACAACCACCUGGUUGAUCGAGGAAAUGCCUUUGUGCUGUGGGAUGGGCUCGCGGCUUAUCAGCUAGUUGGUGGGGUAACGGCCUACCAAGGCAUCGACGAGUAGCUGGUGUGAGAGGACGAGCAGCCACACUGGAACUGAGACACGGUCCAGACUCCUACGGGAGGCAGCAGCAGGGAAUCUUGCGCAAUGGGCGAAAGCCUGACGCAGCAACGCCGCGUGGGGGAUGAAGGCCUUCGGGUUGUAAACCCCUUUCAGGAGGGAAGAAAUUGACGGUACCUCCAAAAGAAGGACCGGCCAACUACGUGCCAGCAGCCGCCGUAAAAC
rnacentral:rRNA from 1 species